GGUUCCCCCAUCCUUACCUCGGAACUUCUAACGAAUCUUGGGAAAAACACAUUUUACGCAGAUUUGCUCGUCCGCCGUCAACCGCACAUAACCGAACUAAAUGUUUGUCGAAUAUAAAACAACAUCUCAGAAACUAUAUAGCGGUAUCAAUGUUUUAUUGAAUUUCUACAUUCUUUAUGUCUUUUCCCUCUGUGCUUUAUAUUUCAUGCGUCGAAGUCUCCGAAUGCUGCGAAACGUGCGGAGAAUGUUUCGGUGAGAAAAUAUUACUUCUACAUCGAAUGUGACAACAGUCGACAUCGAAUAUCAUCUGUAACACAUUCCAAAAGAAGACAAUCUCCUUCAUAAAGAAUGAAUUUGAAAAGUUGGUAAUCAUUUCCUAAAAUAUUAUGCCAGCGCCAUUUUAAGAAGCAUGAAUGUCUGUGACCAUAUAAACCAUAUAAACCAUAUAAAAAUACGAAUAGAUGAAGAAGCAUAAUGUAUCCGAACAACCCACAUCUUUAUUACAAAAUAAAAGGGAAAGGGAAGAUGUACAAGAAAGACAGCACGUUAUCGAAAAACAGUUGAUCAGAAAAGGAGGGCAAGAGCAAAAAGAACGACAUCAAUGCUACUACUAUCACUACCAACAGUAGCAAGAAGCGGUUGACGGUGGAGUAAAAUAAGAAGACGAAAUUGAAUUAUUUGUACCAAUUGCUAGACUAUACAAGAGUAACAUCAUGAUUCGCUGACAACGAGGAUUCAAUUGAAUGGCCAACAAUUGAAUCACGGACAAGCUGCGACUUUUAAAUUGAGGAAAGCCUAGGGAGGACUUUCCGAGAAAUAGAAUUGCAAGAUGAACAUGCUCAGCUGUUGAAAGAAAAUAAAAAUUUGGAAGCACGAAUAAAAUAUGUCAAAUAAAAUCUGAAAAGAACCGAAAUGUCCAGAAAUCUAUUGCGUGUAAAGCUGAAGGCAUUGUAUGCCUUGAGGUGGAAUCAUUUAUGUAAGGUCAAAAUACAUGCUCAAGUUUGGAAAAGAAAAAGUUGCAAAAAUAUGGACCAAGAGACAGAAACAAAAAAAUAUAUUGCACCAGUAAAGAUUGUACAACUACAAAAUUCCUUGAAGAUGAAUCACGACAUUUUCCUCCAAAAAGAGGACGCUUCGUCGUAGAGAGUGAAGGUGCGCUUUCCUGCUGGCCCCGGAAACUCCUUUAUUCGUAAGAUAAAGCAAAACGAUCACUAUGAAGCCAGCAUAUGAAACAACCGUUUUCCGAAUUCCAUAGUUUCUGCAGAAUCGAUUCCUUCAAUGAUUCUAGGAGCAUUCAAAGAAUAACAUUUCGUUACAGCGGAGGAAGGUCCGCGGCUGAGAAGAUAUAAAGAAAGAAAGGCGCAGGUCUCAAAAGUCAAAAGAAAAGGCGAAAAGGAGUUGGGAUUUCCUCGACGACAGAAAUCUACACUCAUAUUACACGCCUUUGACUGAAUCAUUUUGGAUGAUUGCCCUUUAUAGAAUAGUCUAUUGGUAUAGAGAUAUACAUACAUAUUAGAUAUGUGCAAUAUUUUUAAAUGUAUUAUGUAUGUUCUUGGUCUCUUAUUUUAAAUUAUUACAUUGACAAUUUGUACUAUUUUUAACUCUAAUUUAUGUAUACCAUCGUUCAAAAAUAUAAUAAACGAUUAACUUCUCUUUCUUAGGCACCGUACCAUUAAGUAGGUUCCGUAGUGUGAAACUCAACCGGUUCUUGUUUAUGUUAAUGUACAACCAAACAGGGUAGAUUGGGGUUAGGUUUAAGCUUAAAUACAGCUAUCUUUAAGCUUAAAUACAUAGGUUCUUGUACAUGGUAAAUCACGACGAAACAGCGUAGAUUUUUAAUUUUAUAUAUUCUUUUGUACAUUAAUUUCGGUUGAACUCCAAUUUCAUCUCUGUUCGUAACCAUGGGCUACAUAUGUAGCGGCACGAUACUAUUCGUACGAUGAACGGACAGCUUAUUCGCGACACAGUAGCAUUUGUAUAUUGUUACAGAAGAUGUUAUCCUCCGACACAUUAUUCGUACUACACCAUCGUUAAUGUGUCCCGUGAGUCUGUUUCUUUAUAAUUAUAGCUUUAUUAUAAUAUAUAAAUGCACAAGAUAUCUGGUCCAUGAUGUAGUGUGACUGUGAACGAUAUUGUAUCGUAAUCACGAAAUGAUUCAGUCACAAUAUCGUACCAACAAUAUCGCAUCG
rnacentral:lncRNA from 1 species